CGCGGGGGAGAGCGGUUGACCUCCUCGGACGUUCUCGAGGCAGCUGGAGGCGGGACCGUGACCCGCUGGCAGCUCGGAGCUAGCCGGGCGGCCGGAGCUAAAGAGCGCCCGAGCGCCAUGAUUCCUCUGGAGAGGCCGAGCAGCGGCGGCUCUUCCCCGGCCGCCGCCCCCGGCUCGGGUCGAGUCGGCCGGGGUCUGACCACACCGCGCCGGCUGCCGCCCCCGCCCCGCGGGCUGCUGACGGAGAUCCGCACCGCGGUGUGCACCGAGCCCUUCCAGGAUUCCUACAGCCUGAGCCCGGGCCGGGCGCUGGGCAGGGGGAAGUUUGCAGUGGUGAGGAAAUGUAUAAAGAAAGAUUCUGGAAAAGAAUUUGCAGCAAAGUUCAUGAGAAAAAGAAGAAAAGGCCAAGAUUGUCGGACAGAAAUAAUUCAUGAAAUUGCUGUUCUUGAACUAGCACAGGACGAUCCUUGGGUCAUUAACUUACACGCAGUCUAUGAGACGCCAUCGGAAAUGAUCCUAGUUCUGGAGUAUGCUGCUGGGGGUGAAAUCUUUGACCAGUGUGUUGCAGACAGAGAAGAAGCCUUUAAGGAAAAAGAUGUUCAGAGACUCAUGCGGCAGAUUUUAGAAGGUGUUCGCUUUUUACACGCUCAUGACGUAGUUCAUCUUGAUUUGAAGCCCCAGAAUAUUCUGCUGACAAGUGACUCUCCACUGGGUGACAUUAAGAUCGUUGAUUUUGGUCUUUCACGAGUACUGAAGAACGGCGAAGAGCUCCGGGAGAUUAUGGGCACUCCCGAGUACGUGGCUCCUGAAAUUCUUAGUUAUGAUCCUAUCAGCAUGGCAACGGAUAUGUGGAGCAUUGGAGUGUUGGCAUAUGUCAUGCUGACGGGAGUAUCGCCUUUCUUAGGCGAUAAUAAACAAGAAACGUUCCUCAAUAUCUCACAGAUGAAUUUGAGUUAUUCUGAGGAAGAAUUUGAUGUUGUGUCUGAGUCAGCUGUUGACUUCAUCAAGACACUUUUAGUUAAGAAACCUGAAGAUCGCGCCACUGCUGAGGAGUGUCUGAAACACCCAUGGCUAAUGCAGAGCAGUGUUCAGGAACCUUCUCUCAAGGUGAAAGGGGCAUUAGAAGAGGCACAGGCCCUCCAGGAAGGCGAUCCUGUGCCUGAAAGUCAUUCAGAUACUCAGAAGCCGGAAACCGAGGAAUCCGUCGUCACAGAGGAGUUGAUUGUAGUUACUUCAUAUACUUUAGGACAGUGCAGACAGUCUGAAAAAGAGAAGAUGGAGCAAAAGGCCAUUUCUAAACGCUUUAAAUUUGAGGAACCUCUGCUGCAAGACAUUCCGGGAGAUUUUAUCUACUGAGCAGUAUUUCCCUUUAGAACUUUAAGAUUUCUAUAUUGGAAACAUUAUUUAUGGACUUCUGGCCAAAUGGUACAUGUGCUGAAAGUGGAUGACCAGGUGUCACUGGUAGAAACUAAAAUAACUUUGUCAAACUUGUGGAGUUAGAGAAAUCAAGCCAGAUUUAUAAAGUUGCCAACCAGGAGGUUUAACGGGUAAAGUUACCUUUUUCAGAGUUCUUUUUAAGAAGGGAGAUGCUUGAACCUUUUAUUUCUGCAUCCUGUUUCUCCAGAAUGAGAAUAUGUAUGCAAAGAUAUCUGUAGUCACUUUCCUUAAAACUCCAAGUAAAAGUGCCAAAAUUAACAUCUUUGUAAAUCUGUUUUGCAUUAUUCAUAUCUAUAUCUGCAUAUAUGUAUGUUGAUAUCGUUACUAAAAUUGAUUCUUUUUCACUUUGGAUUUUUUGAGGGGACUAAGAUUUUAAUUUAAGUAUUUUGCAAAUUUCUGAGACCUAGAAUAACAUGUGCUAGUUAAUAAUGUCUUAUUUUUAUAUUUUAUUACUGCUCUAUGUUGACUUGACUUGGCUUCUGUUGUCUGUUUUCUUCCUAAUGGUUUGCAGCCCUAUCAGUGGAAAACCCUGGCUAAUUUUAGUUUUUUCUUCAACAUCACUAGUAAGAGUGGUGGUGAUUUUUCACCUCUGAAAUUGUUCUGGUUUUCAAGGUCAAAGGUUAAGUCACCCUGUAAUGUUAACCCAGUGCUCGCUCCGCGUGUCCCUCAUCACACCUUCCUUGUCUACCCUCUUUCACAGGCUGCACCCCUGCCGCCUCCUCACACGCUUGUCGCCUGACUUUGGUCUCUUGCGAGAGGCAGUGUGAUCUGAUCAACACAGUGGUGCUUCGGUCAGUGAGAGGACGCUAUUAAGUUGUUUUUGUUAAUAAAAUCCCCAGGAAUCGGGGAAGAAAUAUAAAGCACAUUCAUGCUGGCCAUCGAGCCUCUGCUUCUGUUGAAUUUCCCAUUAGCCCCCAGGCAAUACUAGGAAAAGUGGUAAGAUGCCAGAAUAUUUAUAAACCUUUACUUUGUUCGUAAACGACUUGACAUUGGAAACUUUGUCAUUAGGGAGGUCCCCUAAGACUUGUAAGAUUUGUAAGAAUAUACUCAGUAGCAUUUAAUUUACUUAGGAGUGAACACUUCAGCUGUAUCUGGGCCCACAGUGAACAAAUUCCUAUUUAAAAAAGUGGAAAUGUAAAAGCGUAUGCUGUAUAACUUAAAGCAACUAAAUCUUCUUCUUACACAGAACAGUCUGCGAGUCCUUAUUUUUACCUUGUAUUAGGUGCUUGUAUCGGGUGAACACAACUUGUCUGUGACUUGUGUGCACACAGCGUGUGCUCUGUACCGUGAGCUACUCGGACCCAUUCCUUCGCAGUCUGCUAGGGUGUCACGUGGUGCUUUCUUCCCAGCCUGGUUGCUCAGAUGUCAGCCUCAGGACCAUGGGAACCCCUAACCAUCUGUUUUCAAGUGUGUGUAGGGUACUGGGCUGGACUUUCCCAUGCGUGGUCUGCACGAGCUCCCAGCCCUGCCUUGCAAGUGUCGCAGGCCCUGUGUUGUUCCGACACCAUCAGGUGAAAUUGAUUAGGCAGUUCGAACCCUCGGUUUGCACUGUUUUCUCACUAAAUUGGCCUAUUGAUUUAUACAGUUUCUUGGAAACGAGCAUUUCUAAACAAGCUCUAUAAAGAGGAAGAGGAAAUUCUGCUACAGUGGCAAUUUUCAAUGAAAACCCACGGCCACAAUGCUAAAGCCUCAGACCUCAGUUUGGAAGAAAGUGUAGGAGCGAAGAGGUCGCUUAGAGACUGUUGGACACGAGGUGAAUGCUGUGCGGCUCCGUCCACGGAGGCCUGAGCAACAUCGCUCCCUGCCACCGACAUGGAUCAUCUCAAGGUACCAAGAAACAAAUCCUAAAUACGUUUUAAGCUCACACUUGGAGAAAUUUGAAUUAGACUGAUAAAACUAAAAAUACGAUAGUAUUGUUCAAGAUCAUUUGGCAAUUAGGCCCUUCAAUUUGUUACAGAAUUAAAAGAGCUGGAUUAAAAACGUUAACCUCAAGAGCCUGAAUUGCCAACUAUGCUUUUAUUGUCGGAGGGGAUAUAAUUUACAAGUAACGAAGUGUACAGCUCUAAACCCGUACCAGCCUCUCUCGAGCCUGACAAAUGCACGUAUUCAGAUAGAGGGAAUUACAUGGCACGUCCACCCUGCUGUGGCUUUCACUCAGCAUGAUUUUGAGACUCAUACAUAUUGGUGCUUGUAUCAGCAGUGUGUUCCUUGUUGUUGCCAUGUGGUGCUGUUUGAACACACCAGCUUAUGUAAAACCAUAUCUCUGUUCAUGGACCCCAGGGCUGUUGCAGGUUUUGUGUCUUAUGAAUAAAGCUGCUAUAGAUAUUCUUUUUUCUGUU